AUGGCCUUCAAUUUUGGGACUCCCUCAGGUACCUCAGGCACCGCUGCAGCCACUGCAGCACCUGCGGGUGGGUUUGGAGGAUUUGGGACAACAUCUACAACUGCAAGUUCUGCAUUCAGCUUUUCUGCCCCCACUAACACAGGCACUACUGCAUUAGGUGGUCUCUUCAGUCAGCCUACACAAGCUCCUACCCAGUCCAACCAGCUGAUAAAUACUGCAAGUGCUCUUUCUGCUCCAACACUUUUGGGAGAUGAGAGAGAUGCUAUUUUAGCAAAAUGGAAUCAACUGCAGGCUUUCUGGGGAACAGGAAAAGGAUAUUUCAACAAUAAUAUUCCACCAGUGGAAUUCACACAAGAAAAUCCCUUUUGCCGGUUUAAGGUAUUGCUAUCUUCAUUUGAAGAGUUUAUAUAAGAGAGAACUUGACUUAUAGAUUAAAAAUUACAUCAAGAAAGCAGUUGCUGUGUUCUUUAGCACUUUGUGCCUUGAACAUGGAUGGUAUGAUUGUACUUAAAAAAAAAUUAUAAAAUCAGAGUAGUUUGUUUAAACAACAAAAAAUGGUCAUCUUGUCUCAUCACUCUAGCAAAGGUACGGGUUGAGUGAUUCAUCUGAAAUGCCUGGGAUCAGAAGUAUUUCGAAUAUCAAACUUUUUCACAUUUUGAAAUAUUUCCAUAUACGUGAGACAUCUUGGGGAUGGGACCUAAUUCUGCACAUACCAAAAGUCAACUUCAAACAGGAUUUUUAGUGCCCUUGUGUUUUCACUGUAUCCUGUCAUGAGAUCAGGUGUGGAAUUUUCCACUUGGUUGGAUCAUGUUUUUUUUUUUUUUGGUACUGGGGAUCGAACUCGGGACCUUGCGCUUGCGAGGCAGGUGGCGGAACCACUGAGCUAAAUCCCCGGCCCUGCAUCAUGUUUUGGUACUCAGAAAGUUUCAGACUUUGGAGCACUUCAGAUUUUCAGAUUAGGGGCAUUCAAUUUAUAUAUCUUAAAUGCAUUAAUUGAAGUUUUAAUAUUUUUGUCUAGUGAAGGUAUAAAAUAGACAUGUUAUAUACAAUUUAAGUUUUUUCUUUAUUAAACAAGUUGGGGUAUAAUACACAUAUGGUAAAUGCAUAGUAAACACUUGGAUAAAUUUAAAUACUUUCUAAAAGUUGUGUGUAAGUGGUAACAAGGAACCAAAGUCUUCUAUCUAAAAGAACAAUUUUCAGCAAGGUAUUGUCUGUCAUAUUUAAUAUUAGAUUAAAAAAAUCUAACCUGAUUCAUAAAGUUUUUUGCUACAUGAAACCAUAAAAUUAUAGCAGUUCUAUAGUAUGUCUAUCUUGAUGGUAUCAUUAUUGUACUUCAAAAGUAUUUGUAAUUCCUUUCUUUAUUUAAAACUUAGGGCCCAGGGAUGUAGCUCAGCAGCACCGUGCCUGCCUGGCAAGUGCAAGGUCCUGAGUUUGAUUCUUGGUACUGGAGGAAAAAAAAAACCAGCUAAGAUUCUUCAAAUCAAAGGCUGGGAAUGUAGCUCAGUGGCAGAACAAAAGCCUAGCAUGUGCAAGGCCAUGAGUUUGAUCCUUAAUAUUACAAAAAAAUUCUAUGAUCAGAUAUAUGAUGAAAUAAAUAUAUUUGGUGUAUAAUUUUUGUGGUCAUGGUGGUAGGGCAUUUAGACAAGGUUUCAGUAUGUAGCCCUGGCUACAUACUUGCGGCAGUCCUGCCUCAGCCUCUCAAGUGCUGGGAUGCACCACCACACUUGGCUUCAUAGUCAUUUUAUAAUGACAUACACAGUUGUUUCAGUGGUUCAGAAACACCCAACCAUAAUGGAUACCAAAAGUCUUCAGAGGAGAACGCUCUUAAGUUACUAUCUGGAAUAUUUUAAUUUCACCAUAUGUUUAUGUUAUUCUUGGGCAAUAGAAUUUUUCUCUGUACGUAAUUGUGUGAUUCCUAAGAUACAAAAUGGUAGGAAGAACUAUAUUUUCUUCAUUACCAGACAUUAAGUUGCUUUCUUCAUUUUAGGAGAUACUAAGCUACUAAUAUUAAAACCACUUGAUUUUUAAGAUUUGUACAUAUUUUUGAUAUUAUUUACUUGUCAUUUCACAGGCUGUAGGUUAUAGUUGUAUGCCCAGUAAUAAAGAUGAAGAUGGGCUAGUGGUUUUAGUUUUCAACAAAAAAGAAACAGAUAUUCGAAGCCAGCAACAGCAGUUGGUAGAAUCGUUGCAUAAAAAAUUUUGGGAGGAAAUCAGACCCUUGCUGUAAAUGUAGAGGGUAUUAAAACAUUGCCAGAUGAUCAGUAAGUAUACUAAAUGUAUUGUUUAUUUCUUUGUGCCCUGCUCCAAAGAGAGUGAUCAGCAGUGUUUUUUUGUUGCUGAAGCACAAAUUAAAUAUUGGAGCAGAAUAUUAAUUUCUCAUAAAUUAAUAUUAGAACAGUUUGUUUAAUAGCUUUUUCUUUAUUUUGCAUUUCUUACUAGAUGUUAAUAAUUUCAUUUAGGUCCAGGAUCUGAAUCAUAUGGCUUUGUGCAAAUGAGUACCAUAAAGAUGUUACUGGAAAGUUUUAUUAACUGAUUCCUAUCUGUGUUCAUUCAUGGAUAAAUACAGUUGCUUUACUUCCUUUGUCCCAUGUAUAAUUUUUAGUCUUAGUGACAAGACAUUUGUUUUAGGACAUUUAGGGUUAGAGGAAUUAAGAUUAGUGAGAUAUAAUAACUGAAUUAGAUUUUACUUCUUGAGUCUUCAUUGCAGAGAAGCACCCUAUAAGUUUUAGCAGAAUCUCCAAAGUACUUCUUAAUUCUGGAAAAAGUAAUAAUAUUUAUAUGAGACUAUACAAAUUUUAUCUUAUUUAUCUGCCUCAUUUUAUCAUUCAAGUACAUGUUUAUUUUCCAAGACUUAACAAAACAAUUCUCUUGUAAAAAUCCAUUCCUGAAUUUAGUUAGCACCCUUGUAAAAUCAUAUGCUGUGUUGAUACUUGUAGCUGUGGGUUAUGUAUUCACUAUUUUAUAAAUUGUCUAUUUGCCUCCAGGACAGAAGUUGUUAUUUAUGUUGUUGAGCGUUCUCCAAAUGGUACCUCAAGAAGAGUUCCAGCUACAACACUAUAUGCCCAUUUUGAACAAGCCAAUAUAAAAACACAACUACAGCAACUUGGUGUAACCCUUUCUAUGACUAGAACAGAACUUUCUCCUGCAGAUCAAGCAGCUUUUACAGAACCCCCCUGCCGGUAUGUUUCUAGAGUCAGAGUUGAAAAAAAUGAAAAAUUUGGUAAAUAUGCAUGUGAAUAACUGAAUAUAGCUAUGUUUGUUAGAAAUUUUGGGAAAUGAUGAACUAAAGAAAAUAGGCCCUAGUCCAUCUUUCCAUAGGUACACUUGAAAACAUUUUUAAAUUUUUUUCUAGUUUAUCUUUUAUUUUAACUGAGUAUUGAAAUAGAACCUGAGUGUGUUCUCAGUUACAGAUUCUAGGUGACCUAGUAGGUUGACUGUUAUAAUUCUUUAUCUCCUUUCCCUAGAACUAUGAAUUUAUUAUAUUCUGUUUCUGCAUUAUCUGUGAUUUGAUUUAAUUUGAUUUGAAUUUGGAGACAAGGUCUCUAUAAUUCAGGCUGGCUUCAAACUCACUAUGUAGCCCAGGUUGGC
rnacentral:lncRNA from 1 species